UCUCUCAUUAGAGUAAUUGGACAGUUCUUGAGUCUGAGUUCUUGAGUCAGAAUUACUCCCAUGGAGCCAAGCAUUGGUGUUGGGCUGAGGUUCCUGAAAGAAGGAAUUGCCUGCAUGAUGUUUUGAAUACCUCUGUUCCAGGGCUGGCCUGUGUGUGGAGUGACUAUAUUAUCACUUGAUGUGGAAGUCGUAAUGGUGGCAACCUUAAAGAAUGUCCUAAAUGGGUCCAUUGUCUUCUGACCAUGUUUGAUGCUUGAGGUGAGGAAGGCAUAUGUGGUGUGUUAUUGUUAUCAGGAACAUCAUUUUCAGACAGAAGUGUGAUUUUUCAAGUUGCCAAGGUCUUUCUAAUUUCUGAUGUAACUCACAUGGGAGAGAACAUUUAUGCCAGUCCUUCCUUCUAUAGAAAUAAUAACAGGUCUUACUCCAGAAUAUAAAGUGACUUAACUAUUUGAUACUCAUUUCACUGGGAAAACUAAGUACUCCCCCUGCCCCGCCAUAAUAAGAGAGGGAAACAAGGAUGGAAAUUAAGAUGAAAUGAGAUUUUCAUUAAAAAGCUGAAAAGAACCCCACGGAGUAGAACAACUGAGGAUCUCAGAAUGGAAACUCAGGGAACAAUUAAAGGAUGGAAAACUGCAUGGAGGAUGUGGUCAGACCCCUCAGUGUCCCUGCAGAAUGUGUCCAAUCCAAGAAGCUGAAUGCACUUAUUGCCCUAGUAGAGGGCGUUAGGCAGUAUUGCAUAGAUAUUCAGUGCAGGUAGAGGUGAUAUACAAUGGAAAAAAAACCAGAAGAGUGGAAGAGGGAAAAAAACCCAGAGUGCACAAUAGAAACCGCUGUAGAACUGCCAGUGUCAGGCUGCAGCAGUGCUGAGAAGAAAGGCAAGGUAGCAUAGGAUGAGGGUAUGUUCACAGAAGAAAAGAUUACAGAGCUGCUGGUAGAGGGAGAUAUCAGGAUCAAGUUCCACCUCCCGAUGAUAUCAGCGGGAACUUGUGCUUCAAAAAUUGAUAGCAUAAUCUUGCCUUUAGGAUUUUCUAUACUACUGUCAACGGUCUGAGGAUUUUGUGCUGACUGUGGGCAAAGGACAGUGUCUGACAUUUAGAUCAUGAAUGCUUGGGUGCAUAACUUGCAGAGUUAUAGUGUGAUUUAAUAAAAGAUCCUGGUGUGGCACUGCUCUGAGAGAUCUGUGGUGUCCAGGGAAGAGCCCUGGGAUAGAACUGUGAGCCAGAGUCACAAUUAGCACUGGUGGGAACAUCUUCACCAAAUGAAAAUUCAUUAAAAUAUCCUGUUUUGUUGACACUGAAACAUCUGUUUCCAUGAAAUUUUUUUCAGGAAAUUUAGAGUGAGACAGAGAGCUGUGUGGUUAGGGCACUUACUUGAGAUGUGGGGGAAACAGAUUCAAGUCUUUGCUUUGUAUUGGGUCGAACAGGGAUUUUAACCUGGGUGUCCAACAUCCCAGGCCAGUCCCCUAAUAACCUGUAUGUGCUCUCUUUUGUUCUUUGUGAAAAUAUGCAGUAGGUUUUGUCUUCAUUCCAAGGUGGAAGAAUUUUGAAACCUCAAUGUUAACAAUAUGUUUAGUCUCUUGAAAGCAUGUUAUAUUUUUGUUUUAUUUGUAACCAUAUCUGUUUUCACUGUCCUUAUU